GACGAACGCUGGCGGCGUGCCUAAUACAUGCAAGUCGAGCGAAGAAGGGAGGUACUUGUACCAAUGGGGUUAGCGGCGGACGGGUGAGUAACGCGUGGGUAACCUACCUAUAAGAGGGGGAUAACUUCGGGAAACGAAAGCUAAUACCGCAUAAUAACUUUAACCACAUGUUUCAAGAUUGAAAGACGCAAUUGCAUUAACUAAUAAAGAUAUCGCGUCUGCAUUAGUUAUUGGGUAAGGUAACGGCUUACAAAGCGAAGAUUGAUUGGCCGCCUUAGGAGGUGGUCCGCCACAUUGGGACUGGGGCACCGCUCCAGCUCCUUAGGGGGGGAACAAGUAGGGAUCUUCCGGCAUGGGCCGAAAUCCUGACGGAGAAACGCGGCGUGAGGGAUGAGGGUCUUCGGUUCGUAAACCUCUUUUAUUAGGGAAGAACAUAUGUGUAAGUAACUGUGCACCUCUUGACGGUACCUAAUCAGAAAGCCACGGCUAACUACGUG
rnacentral:rRNA from 1 species